rnacentral:sRNA from 1 species
UGCUUUCUUAUUACACAGCGGAAGUCUUUCUAACCUUGGUUUAAUACACAUCGUUGGAGCCAUGUUGUAGUUAACAAUCAAAACUGGCCAGGUGCUA